rnacentral:rRNA from 1 species
UACGAAGGGGGCUAGCGUUGUUCGGAAUUACUGGGCGUAAAGCGUAUGCAGGCGGAUCGUUAAGUCGGGGGUGAAAUCCCGAGGCUCAACCUCGGAACUGCCUUCGAUACUGGCGACCUUCGAGUCCGGGAGAGGUGAGUGGAAUUCCUAGUGUAGAGGUGAAAUUCGUAGAUAUUAGGAAGAACACCAGUGGCGAAGGCGGCUCACUGGCCCGGUACUGACGCUGAGGCGCGAAAGCGUGGGGAGCAAACAGG